CAAUAGCGUAUAUUAAAGUUGUUGCAGUUAAAAAGCUCGUAGUUGGAUUUCUGGUUGAAGCGACCGGUCGGGCGUUGAUUCGUCUGCACUGGAGUCGGUUUUGGCCAUCCUCUAGGAAAGUGCGUCUGGUAUUAAGUUAUCGGGCGUAUGAUCCUGGUCUUUUACUGUGGAAAAAUUAGAGUGUUUAAAGCAGGCCUUCGCCUUGAAUACAUUAGCAUGGAAUAAUAAGAUAGGACUUUGGUCUAUUUUGUUGGUUUGCAGACCGAAGUAAUGAUUAAUAGGGAUAGUUGGGGGUAUUUAUAUUCCGAUGUCAGAGGUGAAAUUCUUAGAUUUUCGGAAGAUAAACUUAUGCGAAAGCAUUUACCAAGGAUGUUUUCAUUAA
rnacentral:rRNA from 1 species